UAGGGAAUUUUGCGCAAUGGCCUAACGGCUGACGCAGCAACGCCGCGUGACUGAUGAAGUUCUAAGGAACGUAAAGGUCUGUUAGGAGGGAAGAACGGCGCUAUAGUAAAUAAUUAUAGUGCAUGACGGUACCUCCAGAGAAAGCACCGGCUAACUCCGUGCCAGCAGCCGCGGUAAUACGGGGGGUGCAAGCGUUGUCCGGAAUCACUGGGCGUAAAGGGUGGGUAGGCGGACCGGUAAGUCCGGAGUGCAAUCUGUCUGCUUAACGGACAAUCCGCUUUGGAUACUGUCGGUCUUGAGUCACACAGAGGAAGGUGGAAUUCCUGGUGUAGCGGUGAAAUGUGUAGAUAUCAGGAAGAACACCGGUAGCGAAGGCGGCCUUCUGGGUGUCGACUGACGCUGAGCCACGAAAGUGUGGGGAGCAAACA
rnacentral:rRNA from 1 species